UCCAGGGUAGCCUAGUGGACAUGGCAUCUGCCCGGUAAGCGGAACACUGUGGGUUCGAUCCCAUCCCUGGAC
rnacentral:tRNA from 1 species